GUGGAUUAGAUACCCUAGUAGUCCACGCCCUAAACGAUGUCUACUAGUUGUUGGUGGAGUAAAAUCCAUGAGUAACGCAGCUAACGCGUGAAGUAGACCGCCUGGGGAGUACGGUCGCAAGAUUAAAACUCAAAGGAAUUGACGGGGGCCCGCACAAGCGGUGGAUUAUGUGGAUUAAUUCGAUGCAACGCGAAAAACCUUACCUGGCCUUGACAUGCCACUAACGAAGCAGAGAUGCAUUAGGUGCUCGAAAGAGAAAGUGGACACAGGUGCUGCACGGUCGUCGACAGCU
rnacentral:rRNA from 1 species